rnacentral:rRNA from 1 species
UGCGCGAAAUAUUGCACAAUGGGCGCAAGCCUGAUGCAGCCAUGCCGCGUGUAUGAAGAAGGCCUUCGGGUUGUAAAGUACUUUCAGCGAGGAGGAAGGCAUUAAGGUUAAUAACCUUAGUGAUUGACGUUACUCGCAGAAGAAGCACCGGCUAACUCCGUGCCAGCAGCCGCGGUAAUU